UGGUUGUUAUAGGGGACAGAGUCUAUAAAUGUGGUUGUUAUAGGGGAGAGAGCCUCUAUAAAUGUGUGGUUCACUACGGAACCCAUGGCAGCCAGAGAGGUUCACAUACUUACUGUUCAGCUUGGGAUUUUGGAUAGUGUCAGAGUUUUUGUGUAUAUGUAUCGGGAAUGUACGUAUGAAUGAAGCAUGAAAGAGGAAUCCGUGACAACUUGUUUUGGCACCAGAAUAUGCAAUUGGCUGCUGUUGAUGUGCUUUCAUUUGGUUAUGUCUACUCUGACUAUGCAUUCUUCAUGUUUCUUUAUAUAUUUUGAGGAUAUAGUUUAGUAUUUAGUUUUCUUGAUUCCAAGGACCUGUUUUUGCUUUGGUAUUACAGAGGGGAGAGCUGUGAAUGUACUUUGGAUUUGAAAGCUUUUAGCCUUUGGAUUCAACGGGUUACUUUUUUCCUUGAGUGUUUGUUCUGGAAUAGGUGUCCUAGUAUGGUGUGGCAGUGCUAGUAUUUAUUUAUGUUUAGAAUUAUAAAUCUGAGUAUUAGCAGUGCAUCUCUUUCUUGGAUAAUCAAGAUAUAAGUCUGUUUUGCAGUGAGUUAAACGUUUGUAGAUACUUGAUACAUUUUGUAGUGAGCUGGUCGAUUUUUGAUUUCUGGAUAUCUGGAACAAUUUGCAAUUAUUGAUGAUAAUGGAUAAGAUUGAUACAUAGAUAUAUAAUCAAAUUUCAUCAAUAAGUCUUUCUUUAUUACU
rnacentral:lncRNA from 1 species